AGAGUUUGAUCAUGGCUCAGGAUGAACGCUAGCGGCAGGCUUAAUACAUGCAAGUCGAACGGUAAGAAGAGUAGCAAUACUUUUCCUAGAGUGACGUACGGGUGCGUAACACGUAUGCAACCUACCUUGUACAGGAGUAUAGCUCGGGGAAACUCGAAUUAACCCUCCAUAAUAUCAUAGAGUAGCAUUACUUAUUGAUUAAAACUCAGGUGGUACAAGAUGGGCAUGCGUCUGAUUAGUUAGUUGGCGGGGUAACGGCCCACCAAGACGAUGAUCAGUAGGGGAACUGAGAGGUUGAUCCCCCACACUGGCACUGAGAUACGGGCCAGACUCCUACGGGAGGCAGCAGUAGGGAAUAUUGGUCAAUGGAUGCAAGUCUGAACCAGCCAUGCCGCGUGCAGGAAGAAGGCCUUCUGGGUUGUAAACUGCUUUUGCCAGGGGAUAAAAUUUCCAUGCGUGGAAAAUUGAAGGUACCUGGUGAAUAAGCCACGGCUAACUACGUGCCAGCCGCCGCGGUAAUAC
rnacentral:rRNA from 1 species